UACGAAGGGGGCUAGCGUUGCUCGGAAUGACUGGGCGUAAAGGGCGCGUAGGCGGCUUGCACAGUCAGGCGUGAAAUUCCUGGGCUCAACCUGGGGACUGCGCUUGAGACGUGUGGGCUUGAGUGGGGAAGAGGGUCGUGGAAUUCCCAGUGUAGAGGUGAAAUUCGUAGAUAUUGGGAAGAACGCCGGUGGCGAAGGCGGCGACCUGGUCCUUGACUGACGCUGAGGCGCGAAAGCGUGGGGAGCAAACAGG
rnacentral:rRNA from 1 species